UUGGGAGGCUUCGUUUCAUCUAGACGCGGCGGCGGGGAUCCCGUGCGAAGCGUGGAGCUCCUCCUGUGAUUCUAUCGAUCUCCCGCGUGGUGCAAGCUUUCCCGCCAGGCUCCCCGCCAAUCUCCAAUCCAUAUCUCGCCUCACUUCUCCCUUCCAAUCUCAUCGCGAGUGGCCGAUGGCUAUGGUAGGUCUCUGCGGCGUUGCCGGCGUAGGUCGCACAGCAGCGCUGUUCGAUGGCGGGCCUAGAGAAGAAUGGCCGGCGGCCCCUGCAAACGGACGGCUUCUUCACCGAGAGGUCUAACUCACGCGUCACCACAUCAGGGAUUCGUGAACCUGAAAUCUUCACCAUGACAGCCUCCGCCAAGUGCAGCAUGUUGGCAGCCAUGGAGGUCAAUCCUCUUCCACAAAUCCUAGGAGGCAAGGUGCCACUAAAAGGGAUGAUGGAAGGCUUCAGAAGAUGGAAGGCGCUAUGUAGGAAAUAAGAAGAUGAAAAUUUGAGUGGCAGUGGAUUUUUUAAGUUUGUCAGGUUGCAUAUUUUGGUCAUUUAUCGCUUUAGUUUGGGUGGCAGCGAGCACUCUAGUCUGAAUGUGAAACUGAUCCAUAUCUGAAUGUUAAACUGCUGCAUAUCUGAAUGUGGAACUUCUUCGUAUCUGAAUGUGAAUCCGCUACACCGUGUAACUCUA